AGUGAACGCUGGCGGUAGGCCUAACACAUGCAAGUCGAACGGCAGCACAGGAGAGCUUGCUCUCUGGGUGGCGAGUGGCGGACGGGUGAGGAAUACAUCGGAAUCUACUCUGUCGUGGGGGAUAACGUAGGGAAACUUACGCUAAUACCGCAUACGACCUACGGUUGAAAGCAGGGGACCUUCGGCCCUUGCGCGAUUGAAUUAGCCGAUGUCGGAUUAGCUAGUUGGCGGGGUAAAGGCACACCAAGGCGACGAUCCGUAGCUGGUCUGAUCAGAUGAUCAGCCACGCUGGAAAUGAGACACGGUCCAGACUCCUACGGGAGGCAGCAGUGGGGAAUAUUGGACAAUGGGAGCAAGCCUGAACCAGCCAUACCGCGUGGGAGAAGAAGGCCUUCGGGUUGUAAAGCCCUUUUGUUGGAAAAGAAAUCCAGCUGGCUAAUACCCGGUUGGGAUGACGGUACCCAAAGAAUAAGCACCGGCUAGCUUCGUGCCAGCCGCCGCCGUAA
rnacentral:rRNA from 1 species